GCCCAGCUAGCUCAGUCGGUAGAGCAUAAGACUCUUAAUCUCAAGGUCAUGGGUUCACACCCCACAUUGGGUG
rnacentral:tRNA from 1 species